AAAAGUUACCACGGCAACCCAUUUAAAAAACAACUUGUUUGAAAAACAUUGAUCAGUUGAAGCUACCUGAGAAAAUGAUGCUGUGCGGAGUCUUCCAGGAGAGCAUUAACAUACCUUGAGUCUUCUGAUGGACAUGAACGCUCUUCUUCACCGUUUCCAGAACUUCAUUGUACUGUUAAUUGAAGGGAAGGACGGCGUCUGCGACUGCACCUGUGGAAGGCAUCAAGCCCAUCAUGUCAUCCCUUUUAAUGAGACCCAGCACAUGGUAGCUAAUGAAGGAAACUAUGUUUUAGUUAACAUCAUAGCUCCAUUGAUGACUGGAGUGAUCGUUGGCCUGUGCAUCAGCCGGUUCCUCCAGUGGCUGCAAAGAGCUCGGCUCAAAUACUGGAGAGGAAACCGAAGGAAAGCAACACAUAGGACUUGAAGACAGGGAGAACAUCAAGCAAGAUGUGUCCCAUUAUGUCAUCAAGAUAAAAACUUGGAUUAAAUUCA